rnacentral:lncRNA from 1 species
UUAAUUCGCGAAUUAUUCGCGAAUUAUUGAAAAUUCUAAUUAAACAGUUUAUUUACGAAUUUUUUUCAAAGAAGAAAAAUUAUUCACGAAUUUUUGAUCUAGCCGAAUUAUUCGCAAAUUAUUAAAAAUAUAAAUAAAAAAUUUAUAAUUUUUUAUUUUUAAAUAUAUAUUAUCUUAUAUUUUAUAUUUUAUACUGAAUCCGUUUUUUAAGCCGAAUUUUUCAACGAAUUUAAAAAUUAGAAAAUAAAUUUUAUACGUAUUAUACCCGUACCGAAUUUUUGCCG